GGGUCAGUAGGUUGGUCGUGCCACCGGUACGUACUGGUCCCACUGAUUCCUCCUUCCUGAAGAACCGUAAUGCCAUUAAUUUGGUGUUGCGGGGAAACAGGACUGUCACUUUGAAAAAAUUAGAGUGUUUAAAGCAAGCUAACGCUUGAAUACAUUAGCAUGGAAUAAUGAAAUAGGACGAUCGAUCCUAUUUUGUUGGUUUCUAGGAUUGACGUA
rnacentral:rRNA from 1 species